rnacentral:rRNA from 1 species
GAUGAACGCUGGCGGCGUGCCUAAUACAUGCAAGUCGAGCGAACAGACGAGGAGCUUGCUCCUUCGACGUUAGCGGCGGACGGGUGAGUAACACGUAGGUAACCUACCUAUAAGACUGGGAUAACUUCGGGAAACCGGAGCUAAUACCGGAUAAUAUUUCGAACCGCAUGGUUCGAUAGUGAAAGAUGGCUUUGCUAUCACUUAUAGAUGGACCUGCGCCGUAUUAGCUAGUUGGUAAGGUAACGGCUUACCAAGGCAACGAUACGUAGCCGACCUGAGAGGGUGACCGGCCACACUGGAACUGAGACACGGUCCAGACUCCUACGGGAGGCAGCAGUAGGGAAUCUUCCGCAAUGGGCGAAAGCCUGACGGAGCAACGCCGCGUGAGUGAUGAAGGUCUUCGGAUCGUAAAGCUCUGUUAUUAGGGAAGAACAAACGUGUAAGUAACUGUGCACGUCUUGACGGUACCUAAUCAGAAAGCCACGGCUAACUACGUG